ensembl:snRNA U6 U6 spliceosomal RNA
GUGCUGGCUUUGGUAACUCAUGCACUAAAAUCGGAAUGAUACAGAGAAGAUAGCAUGGGUCCUGUGCAAGGAUGACAAGAAAAUUUGUGAAGUUAAAAAAAAAAAA